AGCUUUGCGCAGUGGCAGUAUCGUAGCCAAUGAGGUUUAUCCGAGGUGCGAUUAUUGCUAAUUGAAAACCUUUCCCGAUACCCUGCCAUGACGACUUGCAAUACAGUCGGCCCUGGCAAAUUUUGACAGUCUCCACGAAGA